UGCUCCCUCCUCGAUCUCGAUCUGGAUCGAGGGGACGAGGAGCUCCGGCCUCCUCCUCGCCCCGCUGCUGCGUCCGGCGCCGCCACGGCCUCUGGAGCACGGCGCGGACGAGGAACCCACCCACGGUGUGCGAGGGGUCUCUUCCCGUACGUCAAGGCAUCCCUCCUCACGUUUCCUCUUUCGGCAUCACGGGCCGCCGCCGCACUCCCUUCCCCGGCUGCCCCGCGGGCUUCUAUCUCUCCCAGCUCCGCUACCGCGCCCCGUCUUCCAUCUCUACAUGAAUCGCUGUUGUGGAAGCCAUACCCCACCGCGCCACCCGGCGGCCAUCCGGGUACGCCGUGUCCGGGAUGAUGGAGUUGAGUCGGCCAGGUCCCUGUUCCCGUCGGCAUCUUCUGCAUCGGGACCCGUGGGGGCAAGCUGCGCGCUGCUCAUCUACGUCGAUGGCGUCGGCGCGGCCUUCCCCUGCCAAGACCGGCGGCUCCUUGGCUGGAUCCUCUCCUCUCCUCUCUUCCACCCCUCGUCGUCGGGUGCUCCUUCCGUCGAUGUCAAGGUCUUAGUCUCGGUGAUUUCUCCUUGUAUGUUCUGUUGAUAUUGGUACCAUGUUCUGAAACUUGCUGCUUUGGAAAGGGUGUGGUUUCAGUUUUGAUGGUUCUGUUCAAUUCAAGGUGAUUCGGUAAUGUUCUGCGUACAAAGUGCUUCCUAUUUUUGCGGUGAAAAACAGCGUGUUGGAGAUAGUUCAGACAUUGAAAAUCUGACAGUAUUUUCUUCUUCUUUUGAUCCCGUUUCUUCAUAGUUAGUCAGACUCAAUAAGAAUUAGAGAAAGUUGGAAAGAGGUUUGUUAGGUCGGAACUGAUAUAUUUGCUUUCUCCUAGCAUCCUAUACAUAUCAUUUUAUAUGACGGGGAUUGUGCUAUAUUACCAUGUUAUAAAGGUAGAGCUAGGAUAUGUCUUUCUUGAACUGUGUGGACAUGCUCAUGGCAGAGGUGCUCUGUUUGCAUGUUUCUUGAAGUAAAGUGGAGAAACUAUUGAAUUGUGUCUUCAGAAAUAGUAUACUGUUGAUGUGUCUUCAGAUGCUGGUUACUGUGUUGGAAUCUACCAAUCCUUCUGAUCAUUGUGUUUUUCUGGGCCUGUAGGUCUACGCCAAACCCCAGGGCAGGGUGGUUCGAACACCAGUGCAGUAUGGGCUGGGACGGACAUCAUCUUGUCUCUGUCUCUACUAAUUCAAAUUACACGUAACUUAUUCACUCAAAAAAAUUACAUGUAAUUUAUUCAGUUCUAGAGCAGCCAAGGGCGGGGCAUCGCACCGACGACAGUGAAUGCAAUGAGGGUGAGAUGCCGAUGUUCGUGCCGGCGCCGGAGACCGUGAACACAUGUCGGGGCAAGGUGCUGGUGUCAGCGACGUCGCCCGUGUUGGCCCCUUGAGUUUUGGACCUGCCGCGCUCUGGUUCUAGAAGCUGCCAUUCCCAUCGAGCCCCUCCAGCAGCCUUCAGGAUGGAGAGGAGAAGACUGAAAAGGAUGUUGAUAUGAGGAAUUCAAGGAAGUGGAAGAGGAAGAAAGUUCCGAUGAUGGUGAUAAUUAGAAUAUCAAGUUUGACGACGAUGAUGAUUGGAACCAAGAGGAGGAAGUACCUGCCGCUAAAACCCACCAAAAAAUUAGCAAGAAAAUUGAUGGUGGGAGCUAGCACUGCCAGCAGUGCCUCCUUUAGGAUUUGAAAAUCGUUAAUCCUAUCUUUGCUUGCAUGUGACUGAUGGUGAUGCUACACAAGUUCUGAAGGCAGUGCCCUCCCCUUCAGCAGGAGAUCUUGCUGUUUCUGCAUGGCACAACUGGAUUAAAUAUGCUACAGCAAGCGAAGGAGUUCAACGAUGUUGUUGGAAUCAAAGGAUUCAUCCUAACGAAAUUAGACAGGACUGCUCGUGUUGGCUGUGUGUUACGGGUGAGUGUUCAUAGACGAAGUUGGAGUUCCAGCCAAGUUUGUUGGUGUCGGCGAAGGGGUGGAAGAUCUCCAACCUUUUGAUUGAGAAGCAUUUGUUGAAGUCAUUUUCCCAUAAAUUUGACCCAGUUAUUAGUGUUUCUCAUGUAACAAGAUUUUGGCUAACAUGCUACUCCCUUCGUUUCUAAAUAUGUCUUUUUAGGAAUUCUAAUAUGGACUGCAUACGAAGAAAAAUGAGUGAAUCUACACUCUAGAAUAUGUCUACAUUUAUUCGUAUGUAGUCCAUAUUCAAAUCACUAAGAAGACCUAUAUUUAGGAAUGGAGGGAGUAGAACUUGGUAGAAGCAAUUUUUUCAACAAUUACAGUUUUUUUGGUUCAGUCGUCGACUCGUCUGCCUGACUUGUUUCUGUCGUUGAUCCUAACUAUUCAUACAGAAACAGAAGCAAGUACGGCCACAACCUCCAAUACUACUACGACUGAUGGCUAUCCUCUACCCAAAUUGAUGCGCUGGAAUUAGUAAAUCUGUUAUCUUGUUUACAAGUGUGGUGAUGCCGAUUGUAGAAAUUGGGCAAUGUGG